UCAUAUCCAAAAUAGAUCAAAGGAAGAACUUGAACAUGUUAGAAUGUAAUUCACCGACGCGGACUUCAAAGACAUCCUAGCAUGCAACCUAUAACUCCUUACCAUUCUAGUUCAUGUUUACCGACGCGGACUUAACACAAACAAUGGCACAUAUUGAUUAAGAACAAGUCAUAAGUUAUCAAUCACACAUAUAAACAUAAUUUAGAUCAUCAAAAGCAUCAUCAAUUACACCAACAACUCAAGUGUACAGAUCUGAUUUUCAUGAUUAUAAGAACAAACUCAAUCAAAAAUCCAACUCAUGAACACAAACGAAUAAGAGAGAUGGAAACAAACUAAAGUAAUUGAAUAGAUAAUAAAAGAAAACAUGAGGUCUGAGUUUAGAUUACACUUUGAGUAUUGAAACAAGGAACUACGCCGAGAAUUACAGAGGAGAAGGCACGGCAAGAGAAAUCCUAAAACUAGGGUUUGUGUUUGGAGAAGAAUUUCUGAAGGAGAUGAAAGACGUUGUUUUUCUGCGGCCAAGAGCGACCCUUUCACGUCCCCCAACUCCUCAUACAUAUAGAGAACAUAUGAACAGCUGCUAUUAGGGUUAGAGAACCUUUAAUUUUCGUCCAUGGGCUCACCGUUGUGGUCUGGGCCUUGAAAUUGAAGUUCCGGUCCAAAUCAGAAAUUCGGGCAGACUGACCUUUGGUCACUCAAACGGUCAUAACUUGGUCACCAAAAUAGCUAUUGACGAUCUGCGAAAAGUUCUGAAAACUAGACUCUUCUAGCUUUCUGCUGAUAUAAAGUUCAUCUCCUGGAUCGUUGUGAGCUGAUCACAAUUCUCUGUCGAAAGUUGACUGACUAUUCCUGGC
rnacentral:lncRNA from 1 species